GUGAAUCAUCGAAUUUUUGAACGCAAAUUGCACUCUCUGGUAUUCCGGAGAGUAUGCCUGUUUGAGGGUCAGUUUAAAUAAAAAUCGGUGUGGUUGCUGCCUUUCGUGGUGACGCACCGGAUUUGGGUGGUCUUGCCUUCGGUUAAGUGACCUUAAAUUUGGCAUGAUUUUUCGAACGUAUUUAAAUGAUAUUACGUACGUUGGUGGUUUU
rnacentral:misc_RNA from 1 species